GCUGGUGGCGCUUUCCGAAAUGUGGUUAUUGGUUAUACGUACUGGCUGACUACGACAAUAGAGACUUGUUGGCUGAAGACCAGUUAUGGUUUUUUUUAUGAGACAAGAAGACGUACAAGCAGUAAAGAUUCUUGCAUAAUAUUCCAGUACAGUAUAUUAUGUAUCAGUAGCGUGCCUAAUGGGUUUGAAGUUUAUGGGGCUCUAGUAGGCAAAAUGUUAAGGACUCAUCUCACGGAUUCAAUUAAAUGUGUGAAAAUAUUAGCUACAGUAUGUCAGAACAAAAAGUCAAUUUGCAUGAGGCACUGAAUCAUGGAAUUAAAGUUGAACCAGGCCAAUGCUGUGUUUUUGAUAACCAUGAAGAAAGUUUUUUAAAUUGUUUGCCAACAAUUCCAUCAAUGUUAAAACCUGCGAGGUCACAAAAAGAAAUUGAAAA